GGACUACUCGGGUAUCUAAUCCUGUUUGCUCCCCACGCUUUCGCGUCUCAGCGUCAGUACCGUCCCAGAGAGCUGCCUUCGCCAUAGGUGUUCUUCCCGAUAUCUGCGCAUUUCACCGCUACACCGGGAAUUCCACUCUCCUCUUCCGGACUCUAGCCAUACGGUUUCAACCGACGUCUCGAGGUUGAGCCUCGAGUUUUCACAGCUGACCUGCAUGGCCGCCUACACGCUCUUUACGCCCAAUAAAUCCGGACAACGCUUGCCCCCUACGUAUUACCGCGGCUGCUGGCAC
rnacentral:rRNA from 1 species